AAGGAUCAGGAGAUGCAGAUCGGACACCCCACCGAUGUCAAACACGUGGCGCAUGUGGGUUGCGACGGCUCCUCCAAUCACUCCCCGAGUUGGAUGAACGAGUUUCAAUCGGAGCCGGGCCCCGAGGAUGCGGACGACGCCGAUGCUACGGCCGCCGCCCCCCAAGUCAAGCACCACACACCAGAACCCCAUCAAGGCGGCGGUUCCUCUGCCGAGGCGUCUGCGACGCCGCUGCCCCGUCCCUCGCGGCGCGUAGACACCCUGAAUCACGACGACUCUUCCUCCGACCGGCAUUCGCGGCGCCACCAGUCGUCCGGCGCCGUCUCCGGCGACAACCCCCGGUUACGGGAUACCUCUGAGGAGUCCAAGCACGGGCGGAGGCACCGCAGCUCCGCCGGCAUCGUCGGCGCGGAGCAGACGGCUCCCGAUCUCCCCACCGUCCCCAAGCAGCCACGCCGCCGCAAGGCAAAGGGCUCAUCAUCCACCGCCGGUGGCAGUAGCGGGACCACGAAGUCGUCGAGAUCAAAGGCGGUGAUCCCGUCGGAAUCGGGAUCCGAAGAGCAGAGAUCCGAACCGAUCGCCCCGCCAGUCUUAAAGCCAACGAUGGAAGAAGAAAAGGAAAACGAAGAGGAAGGGGUAGGGGAAGAAAAGAAGGCCACUGGCGCUCUCCAUUCAUUCGACGCAGCCUCCAUAUGAAUCCGUCUGUAGAAGAAACAAGAAAGAAACACUAGCUGAAAUCUCAAAUUUUGUUGCUUGCGUCCGACGCGAUGACGUCCACGAACAUUUCUCUUCCUUGUGAGGCACACCGUCGUUUUGGUGGCCGCAUUGAGUUUGAUCACUAAAUUAGUUGCUUCGUUUAUAAGGAAAAAUGAAAUGAGAAGGAAUUUGUUACUUUGGCCGUUUGCCGUCGAUUAAAAUAUUUAGGGCUUUAUAGAUCUACGCGUCACGUGCAAGUCACGUGUACCGUCUUUGGCUAUAAAUUAGCUAUAACCGCUCGUCUGGAACUUGGAACCCUAAGUCGGUUGUUCCGUUCCCAUCGUCAUCGUCAUAAUAUCGCCGCGCGGAGUUGCAGGCCACCAAGAUGUAUCUCCAGUUCUACAUCAAUGAGAAUGGCGACAAGGUCUACACCACGAAG